rnacentral:rRNA from 1 species
AGUGAAUAGAUACCCGGGUAGUCCACGCCCUAAACGAUGAUCACUAGCUUUUUGGAGUAUCGACCCUCUGAGAGGCACAGCAAACGCGUUAAGUGAUCCGCCUGGGAAGUACGGCCGCAAGGCUAAAACUCAAAAGAAUAGACGGGGGCGUCGCACAAGUGGUGGAUUAUGUGGUUUAAUUCGACGCUAAACGAAGAACCUCACCAAGGCUUGAAAUUCAGUUGAAAUUCUCCAGAAACGGAGAACCUCCCACAAGGACAACUGGACAGGUGAUGCAUGGUUGUCGUCAGUUCGUGGUUUGAAUUGUUCCCUUAACGUGGGGUAACGAACGCAACCCUCGUGGCUGUUACAAGUGUCAGGCCAGACUGCCUCGUUCAACGAGGAGGAAGCGGGGGAUGACGCCAAACUCAGCAUGUCCCCUUUGACGCCUUGGGCUACACACAUAAUACAAUGGUCGCUACAAAGAGACGCAAUCUCGUAAGAAGGAGCAAAUCUUGAGAAGCGGCCCAAGGUUCGGAUUGAGGUCUGCAACUCGACCUC